AAGGCUAAGGGAUAUCACACAGCUGUCUGACGUCAGUGCUGUACAGACCACAAGCUGCAUCGAAAGAGAAAAUUUACCUCACGUCUGGGUGCAUCCGGUUCAGUGCAGGAGGGAGGUGGACCGGUAGUCAACUUGGUGCAGUGGCAACAAUCUGGAGGUCAAUGCCCAGAAGACAGUGAACAUGAUCGUGGACCAGGUCACAACACCCGUCUGAAUAUGACAAUGGCAAAAAAAAAACGUAUUUUGAUUCUGUUAUGAUUUAAUGUGCUCUCAUGUAAAAGACUAACAGACUGGCAAUAAAGGUUCAAUUCAUUCAUGUCUAA